ACAGACUUGACAUGAUACAACUGACAUUGACGGAGGCUGUAACUUUCACUUUUAAAGGGUUGGUGCGAGGAAUCACUCGUGCACAAAGGGUCCAUGCUACAUGCCAUGUUUUCAGGCAGAUUUGACACAAAACUUGGUGAGGAUGGAUCUUACUUCAUCGAUCGAGAUGGAACCCACUUCCGACAUAUCCUAAAUUAUCUUCGCACUGGAAAACUCGUUUUACCGACGAUACAGUCGUUCGCAAGGAGCUGUUAAACGAGGCGGAAUUCUAUCAAAUCGAUGGGAUACUCAAUGAGCUGAAAGCAAAGCCGUUUAAAGAUUCUGCAAUUCUCUCUUCAGAACAGCGCGAAACCCUGACAGACUGGCUGAAAGACACUCGCGAAAGCUUGAGCGACGAUUACGUGUUGUUAUAUCGAGCUUCUCGCAAUGGCUGGGCUGCCUCUAACUUUCAUUCCUGUUGUGAUAACAAAGGACCAACAGUUACUUUGGUAAAGAGUGGAAACUACAUAUUUGGAGGAUAUACUGCACAAUCAUGGCAAUCGUUAAGUACUGCAUUGUACAAAAGAGCUCCGGGUUCAGCCUUGUCAAUGCCAGUGGUCUGCCACCAACAAAGAUGCCUUUGAGAGGUGGUCAAGAAGGUAACGCCAUCUACUGUUACAGUAGCAAUGGUCCAACAUUUGGAACUGGACCUGACCUUUCCAUAUGCAACUCUCCAAAUUCUAACAACUGCUCUGUUAGCCUUCGUAACACGUACCAGUGCCCAGCCGGUCAGAACGGUAGCCUUUUUUUAACAGGGAAUCAAAACUUCACUGUGCAAGAGAUGGAAGUGUUUAAGUUCAAAAAUUAGAGGCGUUUUUGUCAUUUUUUCCCUUCCUGAUGAGAUUUCAGCUGAUUUUGUAAACGUUUGCUAGUGAGUAAAUUUCCUCAUGGUUAAAUCAUGUCCCUGAUCCUGGAUUUGAGAACUAAGAGGUUUUUAAAACUUUGUUAUUGGACUGAUCUGGUUUGUAAACAAUCGCUUUUUGUCUUUGAUUCUCGAGAUUUUGU